UUUAUUGGACAUUGUUGCCAGUUGCAGGAAGAUUCUCUUUAUACUACCAGAGGCUCUCAAUCACUCUGGACACCACCAUGACUGAGGAGUGAAAAGAAAUGUGAGGUUCCUCUAAGUGACGACAGAUGGGAAAAGGAUUCACUCAUUCAUAGAAUUCCAAACCAGAAACUGACUGCUCAACAGGAUCAAGUUCAUGGAAUCAAAGGAUUUUUUUGCUGGAAAUAUUUGGUUCUCACUAUGUCGAUCAGUCUGGCCCAGAGUUCUUGAUCAUCCUGCUUCAGCAUCUUGAGUCUUAUGAUUGCAGAUGCUCCCGGUCUUAGAUUGUUAAUGUAGAAGAAAGCCACACACCAAGAAACAGCUUUAUGGUGCCUACCUGCAAAGGAAUCAACUCAGCCAAUAGAUCCAGUAACUACAAUUUCUUUAAAGCUUAUUUUCAGGCAACA